CGGGAAGUGGCGCAGCUCGGUCAGCGCGCACGGUUCGGGACCGUGAGGUCGCCAGUUCAAAUCUGGCCUUCCCGA
rnacentral:tRNA from 2 species